UUAGAUUAGCACUUGUUAUCUUGCACUCUUGCAAAGUACCUUCUUGAUGGUUUGCGAGUACAAUUCCAAAUGUACUCACGGCUUUGUCCCUGGCUAUUUACUUGGCCAGACUUGGAGGAACAUGAUGGAUGAAGAAGGAGUUGGCGAUGUCUAUGCGAGCUAGGAACGUCUUCCCAGUCAGUUGCCUGUAGGGUUAUGGCAGAUGACUUGGGUACUGCGCUGCUGAAGUGAUGAUGCUACUCUGAUGUUUAUUUAGGCCCUUCGAGGCUAUUAUGUAAGUAUUGGUCAUGUGACCAUGUUGUAAUUUUUCUUAUUCCGCUUUGUAAUGGAUGGUGUAAUUUGAUAUCAGUUCGGUUAUGUGUUCACGGCGCACUGAUCA